AACGAACGCUGGCGGCAUGCCUAACACAUGCAAGUCGAACGAGAUCUUCGGAUCUAGUGGCGCACGGGUGCGUAACGCGUGGGAAUCUGCCCUUGGGUUCGGAAUAACAGUGAGAAAUUACUGCUAAUACCGGAUGAUGUCUUCGGACCGAAGAUUUAUUGCCCAGGGAUGAGCCCGCGUAGGAUUAGCUAGUUGGUGGGGUAAUGGCCUACCAAGGCGACGAUCCUUAGCUGGUCUGAGAGGAUGAUCAGCCACACUGGGACUGAGACACGGCCCAGACUCCUACGGGAGGCAGCAGUGGGGAAUAUUGGACAAUGGGCGAAAGCCUGAUCCAGCAGUGCCGCGUGAGUGAUGAAGGCCUUAGGGUUGUAAAGCUCUUUUACCAGGGAUGAUAAUGACAGUACCUGGAGAAUAAGCUCCGGCUAACUCCGUGCCAGCAGCCGCGGUAA
rnacentral:rRNA from 1 species